rnacentral:misc_RNA from 1 species
UACGGAGGGUGCAAGCGUUGUCCGGAAUCAUUGGGUGUAAAGGGUGCGCAGGCGGGGGCUUAAGUCGAGGGUGAAAUCUUGCCGCUUAACGGUAAAAUGGCCUUCGAUACUGAGUUUCUUGAGUCCAGAAGAGGCCGGUGGAAUUCGUGGUGUAGCGGUGAAAUGCAUAGAUAUCACGAAGAACACCAGUGGCGAAGGCGGCCGGCUGGUCUGGAACUGACGCUGAGGCACGAGAGCGUGGGGAGCGAACAGG